GAGGUUGCAAUCCUUUGGUGCUCAUGUGUUCUCAGGUCGCCCCUGCUGGACUUCCUCCACCACACGAUUGAUAGAUCCAUCUGAAGACCUACAACACUGGACAUCAGUCCACAGGUACUGUAACAGAACAGCAAGAACAACAGCUGCACGAAUGUACUCUUCCUGAAUAAGAUAAUUAGGAUUCACAUCUAAAGCACCACCUUCAACAAUUCUUGGGUAAAACUUAGUGAGCGAAGAAAGUUUGCCAAGUCUCACACUCAAAUAGCCAUCUCUAACCAUUUCUGUCAGCAGCAUGGCCGAAUCCAGAAGAUUGCGAUUAUCAGGAUCUGAGAUGAGAAGGCAUCUCCUCACGAGUUCAACCAGCGAUGUCUUAGGAAGGCAGCCUGCAGGAUCUAUUUGUCUUCCUUCACCUUCAUGCUGAAUUAUUUUUAGACCUUUGAAAACUAGCACUAGCUGCAUAAAAAGCGAAGAAAGAACUCCAAUUCUCUGCAUCUCCGAGUCGUACUGCAAAAGGCUGAAAUGUUCACUUCCUAAAACGCAUAAAAUGAUGUUCAGACACACAGGUCAUGAUAUAGAAGAUACACCAGCUUGAAAAUGCACUAGGCAUCAUAUGACAGGGACAUCGGCAACUUAUACACACUAGAUUAUCCGAGCGGCAAGAAGGAUAAGAAAUUAGAAAAUGUUCGUCACAGAUACCUAUUGACAAUUGAAUUGCAUAUGUCAAAGCAAUGAAACAAAAUGAAUACUAUAUUUUUUAUCUGCAAAA